rnacentral:rRNA from 1 species
CUACGGGCGGCUCCAGUGGGGAAUAUUGCACAAUGGAGGAAACUCUGAUGCAGCAACGCCGCGUGGAGGAUGACACUUUUCGGAGCGUAAACUCCUUUUAUAUAGGAAGAAGAUGACGGUACUAUAUGAAUAAGCGCCGGCUAACUCCGUGCCAGCAGCCGCGGUAAUACGGAGGGCGCAAGCGUUACUCGGAAUCACUGGGCGUAAAGAGCGUGUAGGCGGAUUAAAAAGUCAGAAGUGACAUCCUAUAGCGUAACUAUAGAACUGCUUCUGAAACUCUUAAUCUAGAAUAUGGGAGAGGUAGAUGGAAUUUCUGGUGUAGGGGUAAAAUCCGUAGAGAUCAGAAGGAAUACCGAUUGCGAAGGCGAUCUACUAGAACAUUAUUGACGCUGAGACGCGAAAGCGUGGGGAGCAAACAGGAUUAGAUACCCGCGUAGUC